rnacentral:rRNA from 1 species
UACGGAGGGUGCAAGCGUUAUCCGGAUUCACUGGGUUUAAAGGGUGCGUAGGUGGCUCUAUAAGUAUGGUGUGAAAUCUCCCGGCUUAACUGGGAGGGUGCGCCGUAGACUGUGGGGCUAGAGUGUGGGAGAGGAAGUGGAAUUCCUGGUGUAGCGGUGAAAUGCGUAGAUAUCAGGAGGAACACCGGUGGUGUAAACGGCUUUCUGGACCAUAACUGACACUGAGGCACGAAAGCCGUGGGUAGCAAACAGG